UUUUGAUAAUCAGGCAGCCAAAAUUACAUCUGACAGUGGGACACAAGCACGCAAGCACUCAGACACACUCUCUUCCACACACACACGCGCGCACACACACAAACACUGUACGCAUCAGCACUUUGUUACAUAUUAAAAAAGGCUUCAGCUUCAUAAAACUGUCAAAUCCUCACUUCCAGGGGUUUUUCACCAGCUGAGACGUCACUGCAGAAGUGGCGGGUAGUUUCAUAAUGCUUGUUUAACAGCAACAGCCCUUUCUUAAGCUCACAUCUCCUCUCUGAAUCCCGUCUUUUUAACAAGGCCGGCACACAUUUAAAUGAGCUUUAGGAGUCAGAGCUUGGCAUCAAACUUGCAACUCUUGAGGAGCGCUCAUGCGUAGCUGUCUGUCUGCAUCUAUUUUUGUGCUUCUCUCAGUGUGUGUGGGCAUGUGUGAGCGUGUGUGUGUGUGAGCAUGUGUGUGUUUGUGUGUGCGUGUGUGUGUGUGUGUGUGUGUGUGUGAUGAGUAGGCUGAUGUGAUUAGCCAGAGCCAGUGGAGUGAAUAAUAUUGUGUCUGCCCCGACUAGGAAGAGAUGGAAUGUAGCUGCUGCUCUUUAUUAUACUGUAGAUCAUCUAGUCCACUAUCAGAUAUAAACAUUGUUAAGUGUGCCUGCGUGCACACACACACACACACACACACACACACAUACACAGACGUCAGCUCCCAUGCUCUUCUUAUACAGAUGGGCCCACUCACACACACAAAGUGCUGUAAGGCAGCGGCUGUGACACAUACGGCUACCAUUCUUUAUGUGUAUGAUUUGAAACGUUCCCAUCCCUUUUGCUGUUCAUGACUUUGCGAAGAGCCAAUAUUCACAAGUGUUUACAGCUUUCUCUGCUCUUUGUUUGCAGUAGUUUUAGUUUAUUAAUUUAUUAGAUAGCAAGAAGUCAAUCAAACAGUGACGGUUGCAGAAGCAGUGUCCAUUGUAUUGUAGAUGAGUUGCUGAAGCUAAUUCUCAACAACUAAUCCACUGAUUGGCAUUCAAAUUCAACAUUUUUGAGUCAACUGGAUUUGUCAGAUCGUGCGAUUGUGAAGGGUCAAACCACAGUAGUUUGGACCAAUCAGCGUCCUGGGACCUGGUAGCUAUGGCACGGUUAAAGGGAUAUUCCGGUGUUAGCUUAAUCCACAGUCUAACACACCGUGACACUGAGUAAGACCCCCCCUCAAGAGACCAAGUUUGCAGACCGGUACCUUACGUAGUUUUUGCAACCUCAGAAAAGACCAUGCAAUAGCAAUACACUGCAGUCUAUGCAGGGUUAGCAUAGUUAAUGUUAAUAUGUGUUUAUGUUGUUUACCCAAGAGGCUUUGGCAAGAGUUUGAUUUACCAGCUGACUCCGCUGGCGGCGCUCUCCUACAGUUGACCUGAUUGGUUGAAGUUGACCCCAAGACAGGCGAUCUGAGACACGUUCAUCCAGUCACCUGCCAAACACUGUCUUUAAAUUGCUGGCUCAUGACCAAACAGUUUCCAAGGACAGAUUCCCAGAUGGUUCCGUUUGACAAACCAUCUGGUGCAUCAACUUAUGAUAAUUCAAGUGAUCAUUAAAAUUACAUUAAAUUUUAAGAACUAAAAAAAUGGUGCAUUUAACAACCAAUAAAAGAGCGACCAUCCAUGACCAAACACAAACAAAACUUAGAAACAGACAAAUAUAACAAACAAGGCAACACCCAGAAUUGUUAGGGCAUUAAGUACAUAGAAACAGAACAAAUUCUUGUUGUCAUUCUGACAGUUCUGGCCAAGUUUUUUGUUUUUGUUUUUCUCUGAAUUCUUCCAGCAGAAUCCUUGCUGCUGCUCACAUUCUUUGAGAGCUCCCUCAAAGUGCCUUUUCCGCCAGCUCUCACUGUACAAACAUUGUUAAUAAACCGUCAGUUCCUCGACUUGUCUCGGGGCUGGAUUAAGAUUUAUGCUGCUUCACAUCUUAUCAGCCGGACCAGCUGCUGAAAUGACAUAUUAUAUUUGGACAGACGAUCAACAAGUCUAUGAAAUUCACCCUUUCUAGCUAAUCUCAACUCCAUCUCUGUCCUUUUUGUCUUUCUACAUCCUCCCUCUCUCCCCGGGGACUUUUGGGAGCAUUCUCAUUAUAUAUUCUUUAUGCAACCUGACAUGCUGAGAGGAUCAUCAAAUAGAGAAGCACGUACAGUUAUUGACAGACACCCAUGGCAGAGCCCUGAAGAAAUGAUGGAGGACUGCAGACAGCAAACAGCCUCAAAGGUCAUUCUUCACCAAUACUGACAAUAAGGCCUUUACUACUGAUAGGUAGCAUUAGGGGUGAUAGGUCAUGAAACAUUAUGUAUAGCGCAUUACUUUUGAAAAAAUUGUUAUCUAAAAAGGAUGCAUUACUUUACCUUUUUUACUCUCUGUAGAAAGUGAUCUGUCACAUUACGUUUGUGUUUCUCCGCAACAUCCACUGAGAUGAAAUGUCAUGUAAUUGUCAGUCAGACCUCAGAUAUGCCCACGUUUCAGUGGGCACUGAAUUGGAAUUUGUUGAAUUUCAUGGAUAUCUUUAUUGUUGAGUGGACGUGCAUCAAAAAGGCACAUUCUUUUCCAUCCCCUCAUGAUGCUGAUAUUUGAGAAGAUAGAGCACAAGUAAUGACACACUUGUUUGAGUCGUAACUACGAGGGGAUUGUAGGGAGAGUAACGCUUGAAGUUACUGCAGAAAUAGCAACAAUAAGAAACAAACUUAUUAAGUCAAGAAAAGGGGGUCAUGAUCCGUCCUGAUUCACAUAUUUUUUGUUGUGUUUUGGAUCAGCUGUGCAAAGCCUGAUCCAUUUCGACUAGGUGUUUGUAAUGCAGAGUGAAAUAAACACUCCAUGAUCCGGUGUCAGCGGGUAGUCAUAAGGACACUGAUUGGGAUUUGGCGCAAAACAAAAACAGACUUCCUUAUAACUAGCUUAAAGUUUUACCAAAGCAAAGCCAGUUUAUUUAUACAGCGCCAUUCAGACACAAGGCAAUUCAGAGUUCUUUACAGAGACAAGCAUUAAAAGAAGACAGAAAGAAUUAUCGCAAUGUUUGAACUGCAUUUCAAAAGACAGCAGACGCAGAGACGAGCUAACAGAAAGUUACAAAUUAAAAAGAAGUCAUGAAUGUGACGUUUUGUGGUGUAAUCUAGUUGCCUAGUGUGUCUUGGGAUUGGAUAUAUAUGGUCUAUAUAGAUAUAUAUAGAUAAUAAUGUAAUGUAAUGUUUCAAUUACGCACGUAUGAACUCAAACGCAUCAAAACAUGAGUCACAAGCUCAGUGGUUGUGGUCGUAUCAGUUUAUGACUGGCCGACGUUUUGUUCCAGCGUGUCGGGGUAAAUAGGCGUUAGGACAGCAUCCAAGCCAUUGUCACAGUUCACAGGAGUUUAACAGGGAGGAUCCUGACACACACAAUGUGGAUAAGAUUAUGAGGCUCCAAGACCACCAGUCUGUUUGACACCAGAUAAACUAAAUACACACACACUCACAAAACCAGUCUGUCUUUUAUUAGUCAAACAGUGCGCUAGUGUCUCUUGCAUUGUCUGACUGUCUGCCUGUCUGGCGGCGAGAGUCGCUGAGGUUCAGUUCAGUGUCACAACAAAGACGAAAGAGACGAAUAAAAUCAAAUCACUAUUUUUGAAUACAUUUACAUUGAUGCUGCACAUGUAAAAGUGCUGUGCCUUUGCUUAAAAGGGAUCGUGGUUAUUACCUGGUUAGGUUCAGGCACAAAAAUUCCUUGGGCCAGCCAAAAUUAAGUUUAGACUUAAAAUACAGGUUUUGUCGGCACAAACACGGCUAACAAAUCCUGAGAGCUUGUUAAAAAUAUCCAGUUCUGUUCCCACAAAAGAUGGAUUCAAAAUGUUCAAGGGGUCACAAAAUAACCCAGUUGAAAUGGUUGGCAAACAGCACUGACUCGCUUGGCAGUUGUCUCCGCUAUUUUCUGUUUUUGACAGUUGAAAUGGAGAGCAAGCGGUGGUCUCAAAUCGUUCUCUAAUAGCGGUAUCUCGCUGGGCAGCCUUCUCACCUAGCUGUCAUGUAACCACCAUCCCCUCCUCCCGUUUAUAAAACAGUCUGCUAUUAGACCACAUUCACAUGGCGGCCAUUUUCCUUUGACAGGGUGGGAAGCUCGAAUAUUGAUGUGUUUCUGGUUGCAAGUCAAAAAACAUAGGAAUCAUAAAAUUUUCUUGGUCUUGUUCCUGGUUGAUAAGCAACUGAAAAUACAAUGGAUCAUAAAAAACCUGGAGGGACAUCGCGUCGUUAUUUAAGGCAAAACAACAUAUUUAGUAACUGUUAGCGUUGCAUUCAACCAAUUCCUAGCUAACUUUACUGUUUGGUAGUGUAACAGUGUUAAAAUAUCAGUGCACAUAUUUGACAGCAUUAUAAUAUAAUAUAUAUAUAUAUAUUAACCUGAAAGUGAAAAAAGUAGAUGUAAUCAAACGGUAAUGUUAGCUAGGAAGUGAUUGAAUGCUAACAUUAGAUUCUCCCCAGAUCCAAUAUCUUUUCAGUGACUGAUGAGUCGGGAUUUGGAUGGUGAUCACCAUCUGUCAGAAUCAGUCAGAAGAAAAUGGCAGCCGUUUGAAUAUGGUCUAUAUGAACGUCAUAUCAUAUGUAUUGUAGAGAUGUUGAUGCGAUUUGUACAAAUUUAAAGUAUCCGUGGAUUGCAGAGAUGCACAUAAUGAAUAUUUGAUUCUGUAACUGUCUCUAUUUUCACAAGUCAGCCCGAACAACAACAUGUCGCAGAUACUUAAUGCACAUACACAGUUUAUUGCACUGACGGUUUAAUCUCAUCUGCUAACUGCUGUGUUGAUUGAGCUCCAUGUUUCAUUUGACACAUAUUUGAUCUCAACCACUGACCCAAUUCUGAAGCAAAAACAUAUUUCACCCUACAAACUGCAUCAUAGAACCCCACUGUGUCAUCAAUCUCUUUUUUGGUCGCUGAUAAAAGAGAGACCCCAACAAGUGCCGACUAUACUGUGCGCAGAAAAAUGUCACAUUCAGUACAUUUCAUAUGAUAGAUGACCACACACACAGUGAAACGUGUGCUGCACAAGUAAAUAUUACUAUGAUGGCUCACACACACACAUCUGUACAGGUUACUGUUCAUUAUGGGCUUAAACUCAUAAGAAGGAAGUGGUCACUCUCCUUUUUAAAAUACAAACAACAGCUGUGUACAUACACACAGCACACCCAAACACACACACACACAAAGGAUAUACACACAUAAACCAUCGACGCUCUUCACACGUACAUUCACACAGCAAAGAGGAAGUGGUGUUUUCUCAUUUGAUCCAACACACGCAAUCUUAGUCUUUCAUGCAGUCUCUCCAAACCACAAGCAUAAUACACACGCACACACAUGCCCAAAUAUACACAUUUUCACACGCCAGUCCGCCCUUUUCUUUUUCACGCCCACAUCCACUAUUUCUCCUUUUUAACACUCGCACACACGCACAGAUAAACACACACACUCACUCACAGCCACAAUGAUUCCAGCCCAUGGCACCGACACUCAGUUUGCCUGAUCUUCAGAGAACAAGGUAUCCUUGGCCAAGCCUGAAUACAAAUAUGUGGCAUGCAACUCCAGCCCCAUUCUUACAAAAGCCAAAACUGGCGUUUUCAUUUUUUCUUCCAGCUGCCAGUUUGAUGACAAGGUCAGUCUCAUUCUGUGACAAAGCUUUGCAUGACCAAAGUUCCGCUCGUUUAUUUUGAAAGGGGUUAAGACAUUGUUUCUAUUUAGAGCUCUCACCAGCGAUAAUAUAUAUAACCCAACAUGGAACAAUAACACAUUCUGCAAGUGUCUUUUAGAGGUUAGACACUGUUGAUAGAAAAAAGUAUUUUGAGAUUAGAUGUGUUUACAGAAGCACUGAUGUGUUUUUAAAGGGUUGCAGAGCAAUGCCAACUCUUUUCACAAACCUUUCCUGGCAGGACAGAACCUUUCAAUGGUUUUCAUUAGUUGUAUUUCACAUUGCAUGAGUGUUUUUGUACCCGGCAAUUUGAUACACCGCUGCUGUCUCCUCGUGUCUGUCUCAGAGCUCCUUGUUGAACUCUGUGACAAAGCUUUGUGUGACCUUCCUCCUUCCUGUUUACAUCACGAAAAAAUCAACACAUCAUGGCCUCUCUUAGGUCUCUGAAUUAGAGACAGGCCUGAGGAUGUGGGCGAGACUGAACUUCUACAUGGAGUUAUCAUCACACACUAAAUAUGCACUAAUGUUAUUGAUGAUGAAAAGCGUAUUUGGCAUUGUGGUGAAGUCUUUUUGUACAGUAGUGUUUGCAUUACCGUGUGUGAGAAUCAACAAAUACACUAGUUUGUCUUUGACUUUAUAUCUUUCAGCUGCCCUGGAAGAGCAGAGAACCCAGAAUGCAUUGCACCUGAGGGAGCAGAUGGAGGCGGAGCUAGAGCUUAUGAUUGACAGGGCGAAGAACCAGCUGCUGCUUCUUCAGUACCAGCGAGACGGCGCACAGCUUCAGCAGACGUUUUCCCAUCCUUUCUGUUUUCAUUCAUCACAUUUUGAGAGCACAUCAGAAAAGAUGACCUGAAGAUAGGGCUUGCAGAAUGAUGUCCGAUUGACUAAAGCAAC